rnacentral:rRNA from 1 species
GAUGAACGCUGCCAGAAUGCUUAACACAUCAGCAAUUGAUUGGUGGCGGACGGGUGAGUAACGCGUACAGAACCUACCUCCCAGCUAGGGACAACAUUUGGAAACGAAUGCUAAUACCUACUACUGUGAGAGAGCUUUGCGUCCCAUUAGCUAGUUGGUGAGGUAACGGCUCACCAAGGCGAUGAUGGGUAGCCGGCCUGAGAGGGUGAUCGGCCACAAGGUGACUGAGACACGGCCCAGAAUCCUACGGGAGGCAGCAGUGGGGAAUAUUGGACAAUGGACCAAAGUCUGAUCCAGCAAUUCUGUGUGCACGAUGAAGUUUUCGGAAUGUAAAGUGCAUUCAGUUGGGAAGCGGUACCAACAGAAGAAGUGACGGCUAAAUACGUGCCAGCCGCCGCGGUAAUAC